CGCGGAGGUGCGGUGGGUGGCUGCCUGCCCUUCGGGAGCUUUUCCGCGGGCCCAGGGUUAGUUCGGCCCUGACGGAGCCUGAAACGGGCGGCUGAAGCAGGACUUUUGCUGUGUUCUGCAAUGUUGCUGUACUGGGCUGAUUUGGAAGAGGGAGCCAAGUGCCACCCAGCAGCAACUGUGUUACAAGAGGUGCAAGACUGCGCUACACGAGGUGUGAGCACCCUGCGUCCGAUGCUCAUCGCAAGGCUGAAACCCCUCCCGUCUUCCUCAGAUGUCUUAACAUUUGAGCGGAACAUAAAACCACUGUGGCAUCUUUAGAGACUUACUAUGUAAAGCUAAGAUCAAGAAAAACACAAAAUCUAACUUCAACUUUCAAACCCUGGCUUUUUUUGCUCAUGUAUAUGACACCAGAGCACUCAUACAGACCCACAUCAGAUUUAAAAUGCGUUCAUCUUUCAUCGGCCUUUCACCAGACUGGGAUUUUCUUUUCUUCUCUUCUUGCCUGCAAAAUCAAAAAGAAGCAGUGAGAAGGUAAAAUAAUAUCAACCCACAGAAUAAAUCCAUCUGAGCAUAUAUUACCUUGAACAUAAUGAAUUUUCUCUUGCUUCUGGGAACCAGCUAGACUCAAAACAGGUUUAAAUCACAUAGCUUGAUGAAUGCGGUAUUCACAACUUGCUUCUUGUUUACAGAACAGCAUUACUAAACAGUAUAGAGCAAUUUCUUCCCACAGGAUGCCAUGAUGACAAUAUCUGAAGUAUUUCAAGCCUGACAUGACAUUCUUUAGCAAAAGCAUGUGCAAAACCUGUGAUAAUACUGCAGCUUUUUGCUUGUGAGGACUAUGGAGUUUUCCUUAUCUGAUCAUUAGUAUUCAUCUCGAUUGCUGUAUUCCUUGGCAAAUGAAAGAUACUCUUUCCUGUGUAAUCUCAAUGCCCAGAUUCAGAAUCUAUGAGAUAGUGAUGUAUUAAUUAAGGUUAGCGGGUCUAGGUGAGCGUAAAUUGAUAGCACCAUGUGCAGCAUAAAAUUUAGGCAUAAAAGAGAGGUUAUCGGAUAGUCUUCCUUUUUUUUUCCUUCUAUUGUACCUAUUUUUCUGUCCUCUGGAGUUUACAUUUUAUCUGGUUUGGCUUACUUUCACCCAGCUGGUGCAAUUUACUCAAAACUUCUUCAUGUAGGUUACACCACCUUGCAUAGUGAUUCACUUAACAUCCAACUUUCUCUCGUCUUCAGCAUUGCCCUUGAAUUGGGCUCAGUAUGAUGAAGCUGUAGUAUUAAUAUUAUGUCAUGAGCAGCUGUGAUUCUCUAGCCAAAUUCAGAGCUAAAGUAAGUGUCAGAUCUACCAGAGAAUAUACAUAAUUUUAUACUAUAUAGCCAGGUUAGAUCUGAUGCCUUCUCUCAGCUGGCAAGGAUAGUUUUGUAAAAGGUUAUUUUGUAUUGUGGUGGUACAACAUUACAAUUGCUUUUAUUGGAAACCAGAUUAACACCCCAGAUGACCCAGAGCAGAGCGCACUGGGACAUCAUUCGCAACAGACAGGUUGCCCCCUAGAAAGGUUUUACAACAGAACUCUUCCCUUAUCUCUUGGGUCUUAUAGCACAGUGUUUUCAGUAUAAGACACACUCUUCUCAAGGAGCUGGAGGAAGGGGAAGAAGGAAGAAGUUCCUUCUGAUGCUAAAACCACCAAUUUGCCUUAAAAAGUGCCUGUAUCAAGAUUCCAGGGAUCUGAACACUUCUUUCAUCUUGGGAGAGAUGGCUUUUGUCUGCUGUGUUAGAUUCAUCUUUUCUGAUAGAAAACUCCAGUAAUAGCAGGUAUUCUUCAGCACAGCCAUUCUGGACUACAGUUCCCAAAGUCCUCAGGAGUAGAUGAAGAGAUUUGGCCUGUGUUAUAUUCUGAAAUGUGACUGUGAACUCUGAGUAAGGGGCACAGUUUAGCUUGGCUUCUCAUUUCCAAUUGCUUUCCUGAGACGCUUCCUGAACCUCUCUGCUGUUUGUGUCACGCUGUCUGAUUAGGGUAACACUUCCUUAUCCUCUUUAAUAUUGUGACAUACUCUGCUACACUGAGAUUAAUUUUUAACACUAUUCUGUAAAUCUAAAAAUUACGUACUAUCAUUUAAUCUAAUUGAGAACACAGAUUAUGUCUAUUUGCAUUGUAACAAGGCAUUGCAUUCCAAGGCAUAUAGGAGAAUAUAACAAUAAGGUUUUAUGUAAACACUUGAUGAUUAAAUAUUGUCAGUGGAAAUAAGCAACAAAACCUUUCAUUACAUGCAAAUCCAGAUUCUUGUAAAUACAAUUACAGGAAAUACAGCAAGAGGUUUAACAUCAUGAAACAGCAGCAGCUGCUUCUGAAUUAACAUUGUAAAUAGUUGCUUAUCCUCAGACUGAUAUUCAGUCCUCUUCCACAUGAAGUCAUGUGCCGGUCAUCUACGCUAUUCCAAAAAGCCUUCGAUCCCAUGGAUUUUCCAAUGCCACACCACAUCAUUACAGAAACUCAAAGAGAGGAAGGAAUGAAAAAAGAAAUUUUAAACUUCUGAUUUUCUGUGAUGGUCAGUUGAGAACUUCCAGGACUCAAGAUAGAAAAAACUAAUAGGAUCUUUGUCACCCCAUAUCACGUAUUUCCUAAGGAAGUAAGGUAAUAGCCAGUCAGAAUGGGGUAGUACAUAGUUAGGAAAAUCCUCUCCAGAUUCAGUAGAAAAUUAUUUGAUAAUUUAUGAAAAAAUAAAUAUGCAGAACCCAUUUUAAUUUUACUUUUAAGUUUAUUUACCAGCUACUGGUAUUGAAUGAGCACAUCGAAUGAAAACCAAUCUUUAAGAAUCAUACUAGUUCCUAAAAUGUAAUGUCAAACCUUUGGUCCAAAAGAAAAUUUGUUAAUUUUCUUUUCUUUUGGUCUCAGAUAAGUCUUCCAUCCCUUUGUGAGUUUGCCAUAAUUAAAAGAAACAUUUCCCUACCAAAGACUUUGGAAAAAAUUGUAGUAUUUUUGAAGUCUGUAUGUAUUUGAAAUGGUUUAAUGAACUCUAGUUUUUGCUUAGUGACCGUGUCAGAAAGGAUCUUUUAGUGUUGAGGAAUAGAUGAGAUUCUUGAAUGUGCUCAGUGUGGGGUGUACGUAUAAACUACUCAAAGGAGAAAAAGUAAGAGAUUAAUGAAAGAUUGAACAGAAUACGGAUAUAAAAGCAAACAGUGAAAAUUUCUUCAUCUACCACUGAUUUUGUUCUUGAUUCACUUGUGGUGUAAGCUAUGUGUACAGUCAACAGCAGAAAGAUAUUGGCUCACUAUGAUCAAGUACAGAAUAAUUCCAUCAACGAUGGGUGAAAUGUGUCUUUCUACUUAAAAUAAUAUUCCAGGCAUAGUAAACUGCAGUUGACAUCCCAUAUUUGUUGUCUCAAUGAUUUCCUUGAUGAAGAUAAUGAAUUUGAAAAAUAUGUAUUUUUUUACUUCACAUUUCACAAACUUGUCAUGGAGUUUGGCAGUCCAGUGCCUUCUUAUUUACAUAUCCCUUGUAAUUAUUUAACUACCUGCCCUGCAAUUUUAGCAUCUGGCCAAAUGGACUCUAGGUCCAGUAGGUCAUCUGGCCUGGAACUGAAGGAGCAGCAAUUCAGCGUUAAAGGUUUUCCUGUAGGAAGUGAAAACACCUGGAACAGUUGGAUUAGGUGUUCUCAGCUGUGUUUAAAAAAUGGAGAAUCUGAAGAUUUGCACAGAGAGUUCCUCCCAUAAACCACAUUUUGCUCUUCCUUUACAUUUUCAAACUCCACCUGUGCAUCAAAAGUAUAAGGAGAUAGAUGUAUGAGAGCUCUCAGCUGACUCAAUACUUGUAGGAGAUGGAGUAAAAAUAGUUACUUGACCAUUCUAGGCACCAAAAUAUUAACUUAAGCAGCUAGGACUGUAUUUAUAAGCUCACCUUACAAAAUGGAGUCUUGUGCAAUAAACACAAAUAUAUUUUUAAAAGCAGAAGUAGGAUUGCCUUAUAGUGCAAUGAACAUUUUUUUAAUUAUUUCUUCAUACUCUGUGUCUCAGUGACUAGGGCUGUCUGUACUUCACAGUACUGUGCCUUUUUUCUGUCCUGCACUAUAUGUUCUUAGUUAUUGCAGUGAGGAAAAUGAAUGUAUCUAACUGUUAACAGUUCACUGUUAAGGGAGUCAUUAUUUUGACAUUUAAGAACACUACACUAUUAGAUUGAUUACUAUUUAUAUUAAUGUGAGGGAUUUAAGCACUCAAAAUCUGACUCCCUUCCAAAACAAUUAACUUUUUGAUCACCUAAUUUUAGGUGUGGAAGUGAUUGUUAUUCAUAACAGUGUUUUCCUCAUUUGAAAUAAAAAUGAUGAAGCUGUAUAAUCAAAGUUCAUUCACAGAAUCACAGAAUGGUUGAGGUUGGAAGGGACUCAGUCACCUUCACAGUAAAAAAGUAUUUCCUGAUGUUCAGAGGGACCCUCCCUCUGUUUCCUCUUGUACCCCUUGUCCUCUCAUGGGUCAUCACUGAGAAAAGCCUGUCUUCUCUACAGCCUCUCUUCCCAUAUUUAAAUUUCCUCCUUCCAUUUCAAUGCUAGUGAAGAACUCAUUACCAGCAGUAGGGACUGAGAAACCAAAUCUUACUCCUUUAUUGCAAACACAUACUUCAGUAUUUAUGAAAUUUGUGAAAUUAACGAAAUCAGAAAUAUUACGAAGUACCAAACCAAAGUGCCUUAUAUUAUUCAGCUUUUUUCAUUAUUCUAGGCUAUGUUUUCAAAGAUCUGAUGCAACAGCCAUGUAUAAAGAUAGCAUGGCACAUGUUCCCCUGUUACAUCUUUCCACCUCCGCGUGCUGUCUGCCCCUUUCCUCAGUUGUGUGCUGCACCACAGGCUUGUGCUGCCAGGGUGCCUUACAGUUUUUUGAGGAUGGGGCUCCAUUCUCCCCUCCUCAACCAGAAAAGGACUUUGACCCCAAAGUCAGGCCUGAACACUCCAAGGAGCUUGUUCUACUUGGAAAGGACCGUCACAGUCAUCCAUCCAGAACCCUCUCUUCUGCUUGUUCUCCUCUGCCUCCUCAUAACCAACCUUCCCCCUUGUCCUCCUGCUAUGGCUGCCCUCACACUACUUCCCACCGCUCCUCACUUCAGGCCAAGAGAGAGGUGUUACACUCACUUGCAGUGCCCCUCAUCUAGGAGUGUUGGAGCACCGGCAAGUGGCAGGGUGAGAAAGCAGUGCUUUGCCACCUUGGCAAACACACCAUCGUCUGUAAUCCAGUACUGCGACCCCAGCAUGCUACACCAUUGCCACAGUGGGAGAUGGGGAUGUGGUGAACUUUUGUGUUGGUGGGAGUCUGUGCAUCUUGCUCCUCAUAACAAUUUUCUGAUUCUUCUUCCUCACAUACAGGGAAGUCAAGGAGGAUUAGUGUCAGUUCAGAGUGUUGCCCUGGAACAGCAGCUGCUACCUUCAUCUGGAUGGUGCCCUGACUUGGAGAGGGGAGGAGGCUGUGGCAGCUGGUGCCCUCAUAUCACUUGAAAAUGAGCAGGAAAACAAACAAGACACAUGAGCAAGAACAGAAAUAAGGUUGGCUUCUGCAUACCUUACAUUUAUGCCAGUGGCUCGUGGGGCAUGGAUGUGCUACUGUGUGAGACAAACAAAAGGCUGGUGUGGUGUUCACUAGACAGGCUUGCAGAGGAGCCACGAAUUGAGAAUGUGAAGUUUUGUGAGGUAACUUUCCUCUGGACAGCUUUAAACCACACGAAUGAUGAGAGCAUGCAGUCCCAAGGCCACACUAAAUCUAAGCCAAAGUAAAACCGCCUACACCACAGAUAAUGUGGAUGGAGGGAGCCUCAGCACCAACUGGGCUGAUCUGUUGCUUGGUUCUUAGUGUGUUAAAUUACUUGCAGUAAUAGAUGUGGCCUCACUGGAAUAAAAGGGAAUUGUACCUGCAGUAUACAAGCACGUACUUUAGUAUAUUAUUAGCAUGUAUUCAAACACUCAUAAAUCUUUUGGUGCUCAUGUUCAAAAGCUGAGAACUCACGUUUGUCCACUUCAUAUGCCAGUGCUGAUUUUCAAACUGUGUGAAAUUCUAGCAAUUAAAGGGACGUGCUGCCUAUGUACUGAAUUGAUUCUUAAGCGUUCUGCAAGCACUCACAAAGCCACUGCUGUGAUGGAUGUCAUGGCUUGCAGUCUAUUAAAGGCUGAUUUCUCUG